rnacentral:rRNA from 1 species
AACGAACGCUGGCGGCAUGCCUAACACAUGCAAGUCGAACGAGACCUUCGGGUCUAGUGGCGCACGGGUGCGUAACGCGUGGGAACCUGCCCUUAGGUUCGGAAUAACUCCUCGAAAGGGGUGCUAAUACCGGAUAAUGUCUUCGGACCAAAGAUUUAUCGCCUUUGGAUGGGCCCGCGUUGGAUUAGCUAGUUGGUAGGGUAAAAGCCUACCAAGGCGACGAUCCAUAGCUGGUCUGAGAGGAUGAUCAGCCACACUGGGACUGAGACACGGCCCAGACUCCUACGGGAGGCAGCAGUGGGGAAUAUUGGACAAUGGGCGCAGGCCUGAUCCAGCAAUGCCGCGUGAGUGAUGAAGGCCUUAGGGUUGUAAAGCUCUUUUACCCGGGAUGAUAAUGACAGUACCGGGAGAAUAAGCUCCGGCUAACUCCGUG